rnacentral:rRNA from 1 species
UACGAAGGGUGCAACCGUUGCUCGGAAUUAUUGGGCGUAAAGCGCACGUAGGCGGCUUUGCAAGUCGGAUGUGAAAUCCCCGGGCUUAACCUGGGAACUGCAUUUGUGACUGCAUGGCUGGAGUGCGGCAGAGGGGGAUGGAAUUCCGCGUGUAGCAGUGAAAUGCGUAGAUAUGCGGAGGAACACCGAUGGCGAAGGCAAUCCCCUGGGCCUGCACUGACGCUCAUGCACGAAAGCGUGGGGAGCGAACAGG